rnacentral:rRNA from 1 species
GUGCCAGCAGCCGCGGUAAUACGGAGGAUGCAAGCGUUAUCCGGAUUUAUUGGGUUUAAAGGGUACGUAGGCGGGAGCUUAAGUCAGUGGUGAAAUCCUGCAGCUUAACUGUAGAACUGUCAUUGAUACUGGGCUUCUUGAAUGUAGUUGAGGUAGGCGGAAUGUGUAAUGUAGCGGUGAAAUGCUUAGAUAUUACACAGAACACCGAUUGCGAAGGCAGCUUACUAAACUACGAUUGACGCUGAGGUACGAAAGCGUGGGGAGCGAACAGGAUUAGAUACCCUGGUAGUCCACGCUGUAAACGAUGAUCACUCGUUGUUGGCAAUACACCGUCAGCGACUGAGCGAAAGCAUUAAGUGAUCCACCUGGGGAGUACGACCGCAAGGUUGAAACUCAAAGGAAUUGACGGGGCCCGCACAAGCGGAGGAACAUGUGGUUUAAUUCGAUGAUACGCGAGGAACCUUACCUGGGCUUAAAUGUAGAACGACGGACCGGGGAACUGGUCUUUCUUCGGACGGUCUGCAAGGUGCUGCAUGGCUGUCGUCAGCUCGUGCCGUGAGGUGUCGGGUUAAGUCCCAUAACGAGCGCAACCCUCAUCAUUAGUUGCCAGCGGGUAAUGCCGGGGACUCUAAUGAAACUGCCGGUGUAAACCGAGAGGAAGGUGGGGAUGACGUCAAGUCAGCACGGCCCUUAUGUCCAGGGCUACACACGUGUUACAAUGGUCGGUACAAAGGGCAGCUACCUGGCGACAGGAUGCUAAUCUCGAAAACCGAUCUCAGUUCGGAUCGAAGUCUGCAACUCGACUUCGUGAAGCUGGAUUCGCUA